UGUACCAGGCAUCUGGAAAUAUUCAAUGCGAAUUGAAGACAGUACCCGCCUGAAAGAAGCACCAUCCAGCAGGGAACAUACACACAAAAUCCAGCAACAUGAAGCCAGAUUUCUCUUCCAGCUCACUCCAAAGCAGAUGUUUCUGGGUUAAACAAGAAAGGACAGAUAUCACCUAAACUAGCAGACCACAUGGUCCCAGGGAUCGGAAAAAGGAAACAUUUUUCCUUCACAAUCUCUGUCAACCUUCCUUCAACUUUCCACAAGAACUCAAAGGAUCUCACCAUUGAGCGAGAAGACUGGAAAAGAUUCAGUCAUCAUGACAGGAGCUCUAAUAAUGUCAAAACUGAAACAGGAACUAAAGGAGGAACUUAACUGAAAACUUCAAGAGAACCUGCCUAAUUUAAGCUAUGUAGACAAUUCAGCAUGAUAGAUAGUGGGGCUGAGGGAUGAGGGGAUGGAUGGGAUUUGUGGGAUCUCCUCAAGCUUGGAGGCUGCAGCAACAGCUUAGUCCUGGUUCCAUGUUCCCCUGCCAUCAUCAUCAGUCACAUUUACAAAGUACCUAUUGUGUGCGUAACACUGUACUAAGGCACUUGGGAAAGUCCAAUAAAGUCGAAGGCAGAAUCCCUGCUUUCAAGGCACUUAUCCCUCCUUCCCCCCACUCCGCUGAGAAAUCUCACUCACUGCCUCCUAAAAUUAAUUUAAUCAUAUUUAUUGAACGCUUACAGUAUGCACAGCACUGUACUAAGCUCCUGGGAGACUACACUACAGCAAUAAAGGUACAUUCCCUGCCUACAAUGAGCUGACAGUCUGCCUCAACAAACACAUUGCCACAGAUGCUCACAGACACAUUCAGAACCCCCUUCCCCUUCCCCCCCCCCACACACUCUUACACCCCUGUCUACAUACGUGCACUACCUAUACCUACAGUUAAACAUACACACACUAGGUAAGAGGAAAAAAGAGUUAUUGAGAAGACUGUGAAGACCGUGCAUAGGUGGAUGAGUGGAGUAGUGAGAAGGCGAGAGCGGGUGGUAGAAGUGGGUGGGGCAAUAUGAGAGAGCAUGAUGGAUCCUUUCACAUUAACCUACAAUAGCUAUUGAGAGAUGAACUGUUGUAGGCUAUUCAUCACACUGUCAUUGGAACUCAGUAAUUAGAUGUUGCCAUUAGACGUAUUGACGACAGAGAUUACUAGAGAGCUCAAGUAUUUGUACUUCCUCUGUUCGUGGCCCUACUUUUCAUUUGCAAAGACAGG